GACGAACGCUGGCGGCGUGCUUAACACAUGCAAGUCGAGCGGAAAGGCCCUUUCGGGGGUACUCGAGCGGCGAACGGGUGAGUAACACGUGAGUAAUCUGCCCUUGGCUUUGGGAUAACUACCGGAAACGGUGGCUAAUACCGGAUAUGACCAUGCUCGGCAUCGGGUGUGGUGGAAAGGUUUUUCGGCCAGGGAUGUGCUCGCGGCCUAUCAGCUUGUUGGUGGGUAAUGGCCUACCAAGGCUUCGACGGGUAGCCGGCCUGAGAGGGUGACCGGCCACACUGGGACUGAGACACGGCCCAGACUCCUACGGGAGGCAGCAGUGGGGAAUAUUGGACAAUGGGCGGAAGCCUGAUCCAGCAACGCCGCGUGAGGGAUGACGGCCU
rnacentral:rRNA from 1 species